GUAGACAAAAGGAAAAAAAAAUAAAACACAAAAAAAAAAAGAAUUUCGUGAGAGAGUGAGGAACCGUGAGAGAUAAAGAGAGUUUGUGAAGAGAGAAGGUGAUUUUUGAAGGAGAUAAAGGAGAAAGAAGAUUGAAUCAAGAUUUUGGGAUUUUCAUAGGCUUGGAUUCCAAGAUUUCUUCAAGAUUGAGAUUUGAGCUUGAUUUGAGAUUGGGUGUUGGCCAAAAAGUGAUUGAGCAAGGGUUUGACAAAUUGGCUAAGGUUGGUUGAAUUUGGAGACGUGGUAACAAGGAUUUGGGUGACUUGCUCAAACGAGGUGAGAUAGGUAAGUUUCGGUGCCCCGACUAUGGAUCAGCGAGGUGACGCGUGACGUGGCAGGCUUGGAUUUGUGGGCUAGAGUGGUGUUUUUAUUAGUUGAUGUGAUAUGUGGUACUUGUUUAAUGUUUUAUGGAGAAGUAUUGGGUAUUUUAGUAUUAUGGAUAUGUUAUGUGUUGAGAGUAUUAUGGAUAUGUUAUGUGUUGGACUCGAGUUACCAUUAUUUGGUGUUUUAUGAUGUGUUUGAGAUUGAGUGUCAUGGUGGGAAUUGGUUUAGCUUGAUAUAUUUGAUUCAGGAUGCAUUCUCCGAAAUACAGGGAGAUGCUGUCGGAUUUUAGUUUAAAGUUUAUUGUGUUUAAA